rnacentral:lncRNA from 1 species
GUUCAAUCUUUAGCACCACGUAAAAGUAAAUAAAUAAAGAUAUUGUGUUCAUCAUUAAAAAUAAUAUUUUUUUAAAAAGUAAUUAUUGAAUGAAUAAUUCUUUUUGCCUUACAGAUGUUCUCUCCCUUUUUUAAACUUCAUAGAAUUUUUUUGCCCCUUCCUAAGUCAAUUAAAUUGUUUUGUGUUAUCCCUAAUUGUUUUAAGUAUCUAAUUGUUUUGUAGUAUCUUUUUCCUUUAUUUUAUCUCUGUUGUUUGUUUGGUUUGGUUUGGUUUUAUUUUGGUACUGUUUGAGACUCUCUCUCAAAAUAAAGUAAAAAGGCUAGGCACGAUGGCACAUACCUAUAAUCCUAGUGACUCAGGAGGAUCAAGAGAGUUCAAAGCCAGUCUCAGCAACUUAGCAAGGCCCUAAGCAGCUCAGUGAGACCUUGUCACUAAUUAUAUUAAAAAGGGCUGGGGAUGUGGCUCAGUGGUUAAGUGCCCCUGGGUUCAAUCCCUGGUACUUACUUACUAAAUAAUUAAAUAAAGUGAAAAGGGCUGGGGAUAUAACUCAAUGGCAAAGUGCCCAUGGGUUCAACCCUGAGUAUCCUAGUUCCUAACCACUAAAGAGGAAAAUGAAAUGAAUUAUUUGGAUGCAGUCUGUUCAGUAGAUACACAGACUUUACUGGGGGAAUUAUUGUGCUUUUGUUUUUCUCUGUGUAUAUUAAACUAUCCUUUUUAAUAGUAAAUAAUACAAAACUUUGUGAAACUACUGACAAAAGAAAACUAAACUAAUAAACCUGGAAUAUCUCAGAAACAUCAAUCUUGAAAAAAUGAGAUGAUUUUAAAGGAAGAAGGUAAAGAUAAGGUAUAUUAGGAAGAGAAGAGAUAUAGGGAGAACAGCUGUGAGCUUUUACCUUUUUUAGAGAAAGAGCUGUCAGCUUUCUUCUGGUCAGGUGAGGAAGACUGGAAAAGGAUGAUUGUAAGGUCUAUUAGAGCAUGAGUGGGCUAAUGAAAGCAGACAGCUCAGAGAAUAUGGGAACAGAUAAGAUUUAGAGACUUAUGACCUAUAUUUGAAGUAAUAAUGUCAAGUGAAAUGCACUACGGCUGAAACUUUUUAACUUUUACCCUUCACUGAGUUGCUGUUUCUAGCCUGGGAACUAGAACUUUUUAUUUGGUUAGUUUAAACUCAAAUAUUUGCCUCACUACUAAAUUACUCACAUUUUCCUUAAUUGACAUUUUUGUUUGUUUACCUUCAGCUUCAUCCUUUGAUCAUCUGAGUGUUUAUCUGAAAAUCAUUUCCUCCAUUUCAAGCUUUAAAACAUGCACAAUUUUUUUCAGUUAGGCAUUUAUUUAUGCCAACUUGCUGCCAGUUAUUGUCCAAGGUUCAAGGGAUGUUAUAAUGAACAAAAAUAGACACGGUUCCAUAAAAGAGAGAAAUACCAUGAGAGGGCACAACAGGAAGAAAUACCAAUCGAAGCAACCUCCAGGCGUGAGUAGGAAAUACCAGCCUGGAGAAAGGAAAAAGCACAUUCCUAGGAGCUGAAACGCGUGUUUAAAAAUUCUAUGGCAGGGCAGGGGUUUUGGCUCAGUGGUAGAGCGCUCGCCUAGCAUGAAUGAGGCACUGGGUUCGAACC